UGCCGUAUGAGACAGAGAAGAGAAAGAAGAAAGAGAGAGAAAAAUAAAAGAAGAGAGAAGAAGAGAGAAUGAGAGAGAAGAAGAUCGUGCUCAGCAGUGUGCACUAUCGUGUGAGACAGAGAGAAGAAAGAAGAGAGAGAAAAAGAAUAGAGAGACAGAAGAGAGAAAGAGAGAACAGAGAGAAAGAGAGAAGAGAGAGAAAAGAGAGUGAAUAGAGAUAAAAUGAGAAGAGAGAGAAAGAGACAAGAGAGAAAAAGAGAAAAGAGAAAAGAGAGAGAAAGAGAGAAAGAGGGAAGAGAGAAAGAGAUGAGAGGAGAAAGAGUCACCUUAAGCCCAAGGGUACCAACCAAAAAUCUUCUCUCUCCUCUCUC
rnacentral:lncRNA from 1 species